AGCUGGACUGAGUGAGGUAGUCAGGGCAGUCAGUCCCCUGAAACCACAGGCAGCAGGCCCCACCUGCUUCAACUCUUAAAAACCAAGCCUUGCCUACAUUUUUUUUGCCUGGGGGAAAAAGUGAAAGUUCUUGUUCCAGACCUCCCAUGUGCUUUUUUGCUGGUCUUGUGGCUUUGACUCCCUACUCUGACUCUUGUUUCUGACUCUAAGACCCUUGGUGUUCUUUGGUUCUCUGCUCGUGAUUCUGGUUUGACUUUUGGCUUCUGAUCCCAGUUAACUUUCAGCUUGCUUUGUGUCUGGCUUUGGCUUCUGACCUCGGCUUAUCCUAUUAGCUACUGCUUGUGAAUCCAGUUUGACACCAGACCCUCUGGGCCCCAAUUCCCUGUGAAGGCAACAUGGACUACAUCUGCACUUCAGACUGCUUCAGAUUGCUGGCUAACCCAUAUUUAGCUGAGUUGAGGAUGUGCUCCCCAGAUGCUGCCAGCUGACCCAAAGCGCAUACGUGCAUUUUGUACAUGUCCCCACCUUGUGCCCCUGCUUUGUGGAGCUUUGCCAGUGCCCCAAGCAGCAAAUCCACUGCCUCCCACAACUCCAUCCCCCUAAAUAGGGGCUGCCUUUUCAAGGUGAAAGAGGGAUUGGUGGCUUCUGUAGAGGGCUCCUAGGAAGUGACUCUGAUUUUUGGGACUUCAAUUUGUGGUGAAUCCAGAGCAACCCAUCAGUCAAACUGUUCCAUCAGACGUUCUGGAGGAAGUCUUGGGGUACUAUUCGGUGAUGAAGCUGUGGCCCAUACAAGUAAAAUUUCACAAACCAGAAUCGCACCCCAGGAAGUGCUGUUUUCCAUGUUUAUUAUGGGUGGGUGGGUGGAUGUAUGAGGUUUGGUUUGGUUUUUUGUGUUGGGGCAGGGGUUGGUUGCUUAUUUUUGAGGAGAGUUUUGUUGCAAAGGCAGUGGGAUUUCCUAGUAGAUUGCCAUUUAAAAUUACAGUUAAGGAGGAUUUGGUGCCCCUCAGGCUUUGAUCAGCUUUGGUCAGUGGUUCCCUGGGGCUUGAAGAGCUCCAAGUAUAGUUCAGUCUCUCCUAACCUCUUUACAAACUUGCACCACAUCCUCCAAAUGGGAUGGGAGGGGAAAGGAAAACUAGAGAGACACAGCAGGUAGCAGAUACUGUCGUUAUUGAAGCAACCUGCUGUCUUUGUUAGCACUUUUUAGUUUUCAUUUGCAUUGUGGUUUCCUGGUCACACCUUUUUUGAAAGUUUAAAAAACACACUUACUUUUUAACAGUGGACUGAUCUGACUUCAUUGUUAACUUUUACUCACAAAUAUAUACAUGGAAAGUUCUCUUUUAAAGAAUGCAUUGUCCACUCAGUUACAAAGAAACAGGAAGUUGCAGUCAGGUUUUGCUGUAAGCUGCAGGAAGCUGCCAAAAGGUUUUAUUGAACUUGUUGUUUUUUCUUAAAAACCAAGAAGUCAGCACAAGCCAAGCCAGUAGCACCCCGUGUCCCAAGCUAGCAUGCGUAAAGAGUUACAUUUGAUAUUUAUUCAAAACCAAGGAGUUAUGGUUCUUGGGGAUAUAUAUUAGUGGGAAGUCCUGUGGGCACAUAUAUGACAUUGAUCACUAUUGCCUGAAACUCAAUUAUUUAUACCUUGUCUCUGAUGCUAGUAACCCUCGGGUAAACAACUUCCAUAAUAGCACUGCAUAUCUGCACCAUCAGCAGCAGCCUUAGAGUAGACUUGCCAAUAAACUACGUAGUCUUGGGCCUAUAGUAGUUGUUGGCAGUUGGGUUCUAGACAGAAAUUGCAAUCUACUUACUUACUGGUAUUGGAUCCCUCUAUUCUGUGCUUUGAUAGAUGGUUGGGGUAGGCUACUCACACAGGUCCAUGAACAUCUGUUUCCUUAGCAGAAGUCCUGAAGCCACUGCGGGAUAUCCCAUGUUUGCAAAAUGUCAUCCUUUCACUAAGUUAUAAUAGGUCUUUAUCUCCACAAAUGCCAGUAUACAUUUGAGGAUACAGGGGCAAGUGCAGCAUUCAGCAUGUUUCCCAAAUUUAGUUUCCACCAUGCUAUCUGUGUCUAGAGCCCUUACACAUUCCUGUAAUCCCCCAAAUCCUUCCAACUUCUCUAUGGUCACGUCUACAUGUACAUUAAUGUGCUGUGGUUACUGUGCAUUAAGUUUAGUACUUGUAAUAACAGGUACUAACUAAAUGUACAGUGCAGUAACCUUUUUAAAUGCCUUCUGAUUGAUGCUAAUGCACAGUAGAUUAAUUCUACUGCUUAUUAGCACAAUAGCACGACUUUUGCUGUGGUUUAACCUACCACGCAUUUAACUUCUUGUGUAGAUGCACCCUAUGAAGAACUGUUCCACAUCAUAAACAGUUGGGUCACAGGUAGAAGAGUUCCUCUAAUGGCUCAGUGAUUCUGGCCAUUUCUGCAGCACUCUGAGCCAAAAUAGCCACUUGUGAUGGAGGGUUAAAAAAACUAAAACACUGUGCCUUUGGGACCAUUUAGAAAACAAGCUGUCCCACAAUGCACCAAAGACCAGUUCCUAGAAUUGCUCUACCAAGUAUGGAACCUGGCAUAUGUCCCCUUAAAUCUCACUGCACACACGCAUCAGUAAAGACAAUGUGCAUGGGUAAUGAGGGGAUUAACACGUGUCAGAGAAAUAACAACAUAAAUGGGGAAAAGGGCAGUUUGCCUGUCUUGGGCUUUCUGACACUGGGCAGUAUAGAGAUACCCAAUAGGGCUGUGUGAAGCUUUGGUCAAUUAUUCGAUUCACCAGAGAUUCAGCCCAAUUCGGUGGCCAAAUCUCCAAAUCCAAAUUGAAUCAGGAGACCCUUUAAUCUUUCCAAAUUGAAUUGGAAUCCUCCGAAUCAAUUUGGAGAGAUUCGACAAUUCGGACGUAGACUCAGCUUUAAAUG